rnacentral:rRNA from 1 species
CCUACGGGAGGCUGCAGUGGGGAAUAUUGCGCAAUGGGCGAAAGCCUGACGCAGCGACGCCGCGUGGGUGAUGAAGGCCUUCGGGUUGUAAAGCCCUGUCGGGUGGAACGAACGAUCUGGCGGCGAAUAACCGCCGGGUGUGACGGUACCACCGAAGGAAGCCCCGGCUCACUACGUGCCAGCAGCCGCGGUAAGACGUAGGGGGCGAGCGUUGUUCGGGUUUACUGGGCGUAAAGCGCGCUUAGGCGGCCGUGGGCUAAACCGAGGUCCCGCAUCCGAUACUGUCAGGCUCGAGUCUAGGAGAGGAAAGCGGAAUGCCCAGUGUAGCGGUGAAAUGCGUAGAUAUUGGGAGGAACACCGGUGGCGAAGGCGGCUUUCCGGACUAGUACUGACGCUGAGGCGCGAAAGCUAGGGGAGCGAACGGGAUUAGAUACCCCAGUAGUC